UUAUUUUUGUCAACUCAAAUUUUUUUAAAAUUUCAAGUUCGAAUUGAGUUUAAUUUUUGAAUUCAAAUAACUCAAAUAAUUCGAAUAAACCGAAUAACAAACUAUAAUAUUUUACAUUUUUACCCCCAACCUCUAAACCUUUUUACUUUCCCCCCAAUAUUUUACUCCCUCCCACUUUCCCCCCAAAACUUUUACUUUCCUCCCAUCCCAACCCCCAUCUACCCCAAACCCAUUUCCCCCCUCCCAUUUUUUAAAAUAUUUUCCUCACAUUUACAUUUCCCCCACAUUUUUACUCCCCCAACCCUCAAAACUUUUUUAUUUUCCCCCUAAACUUUUUACUUUUUACCCUUUACCCC
rnacentral:lncRNA from 1 species